rnacentral:tRNA from 1 species
GGAGGCGCAUCCCGUCCGGUGGCGGGCGCGGUCUUCAAAACCGUCUGCGGGUGCGCGAGAGCGUACCCGGGUGGGUUCGACUCCCACACGCCUCCGCCA